rnacentral:rRNA from 1 species
UACAGAGGUCUCGAGCGUUGUUCGGAUUCAUUGGGCGUAAAGGGCGCGUAGGCGGCGGGGUAAGUCUGGUGUGAAAUCUCGGAGCUCAACUCCGAAAUUGCACUGGAUACUGCUCUGCUAGAGGGCUGGAGAGGAGAUCGGAAUUCACGGUGUAGCAGUGAAAUGCGUAGAUAUCGUGAGGAAGACCAGUGGCGAAGGCGGAUCUCUGGACAGCUCCUGACGCUGAGGCGCGAAGGCUAGGGGAGCAAACGUG